rnacentral:rRNA from 1 species
AGGAUGAACGCUGGCGGCGUGCCUAAUACAUGCAAGUCGAGCGAACAGAYGAGGAGCUUGCUCCUCUGACGUUAGCGGCGACGGGUGAGUAACACGUGGAUAACCUACCUAUAAGACUGGGAUAACUUCGGGAAACCGGAGCUAAUACCGGAUAAUAUAUUGAACCGCAUGGUUCAAUAGUGAAAGACGGUUUGCUGUCACUUAUAGAUGGAUCCGCGCCGCAUUAGCUAGUUGGUAAGGUAACGCUUACCAAGGCAACGAUGCGUAGCCGACCUGAGAGGGUGAUCGGCCACACUGGAACUGAGACACGGUCCAGACUCCUACGGGAGGCAGCAGUAGGGAAUCUUCCGCAAUGGGCGAAAGCCUGACGGAGCAACGCCGCGUGAGUGAUGAAGUCUUCGGAUYGUAAAACUCUGUUAUUAGGGAAGAACAAAUGUGUAAGUAACUAUGCACGUCUUGACGGUACCUAAUCAGAAAGCCACGGCUAACUACGUGCCAGCAGCCGCGGUAAUACGUAGGUGGCAAGCGUUAUCCGGAUUAUUGGGCGUAAAGCGCGCGUAGGCGGUUUUUUAAGUCUGAUUGAAAGCCCACGGCUCAACCGUGGAGGGUCAUUGGAAACUGGAAAACUUGAGUGCAGAAGAGGAAAGUGGAAUUCCAUGUGUAGCGGUGAAAUGCGCAGAGAUAUGGAGGAACACCAGUGGCGAAGGCGACUUUCUGGUCUGUAACUGACGCUGAUGGCGAAAGCGUGGGGAUCAAACAGGAUUAGAUACCCUGGUAGUCCACGCCGUAAACGAUGAGUGCUAAGUGUUAGGGGGUUUCCGCCCCUUAGUCUGCAGCUAACGCAUUAAGCACUCCGCCUGGGGAGUACGACCGCAAGGUUGAAACUCAAAGGAAUUGACGGGGACCCGCACAAGCGGUGGAGCAUGUGUUUAAUUCGAAGCAACGCGAAGAACCUUACCAAAUCUUGACAUCCUCUGAYCCCUCUAGAGAUAGAGUUUUCCCCUUCGGGGACAGAGUGACAGGUGGUGCAUGGUUGUCGUCAGCUCGUGUCGUGAGAUGUUGGUUAAGUCCCGCAACGAGCGCAACCCUUAAGCUUAGUUGCCAUCAUUAAGUUGGCACUCUAAGUUGACUGC